UACGUAGGGUGCGAGCGUUAAUCGGAAUUACUGGGCGUAAAGCGUGCGCAGGCGGUCAUGCAAGACAGAUGUGAAAUCCCCGGGCUCAACCUGGGAAUUGCAUUUGUGACUGCAUGGCUGGAGUGCGGCAGAGGGGGAUGGAAUUCCGCGUGUAGCAGUGAAAUGCGUAGAUAUCAGGAGGAAUACCGAUGGCGAAGGCAGGUCUCUGGGCUGACACUGACGCUCAUGCACGAAAGCGUGGGGAGCAAACAGG
rnacentral:rRNA from 1 species